UGUGUGUGGUCCUUCCCGGCCACCAUAGUCGAACUUUUUGGAGGCGGGGUGAAGUGAAUGGAGUGCCUUGCAGAUCUGAGCUCAACCGUCCGGCCUUGGCUAGAUGACACAGAAACUGGCUGGACUCGAGACCGCGGGAUCUUCCGUGGAGAUGGCAAACCACUGCCCUUGGCUGCUGCAGGCUGAAGGACGAGGGCUUAGAGGUCGCGGCCCGCCGGAGGAAUACUCCACACAGGUUUGCACGGACUUCCGGAGAGAAUUUUUAUCUUCCGGUCCUUUUCAAAUCCCGCUACAAGCCUGGAAAAUGACCCUUGGCUCCCUGCACUCAAGUCCCCUGGGAACCAAAGUGCUGAGCAAUGGCGUGCGCGGCGAGUAACCAGGAAGUGAAACCCGUCCUGGUAGAUUAUUGGGCUUUCUCGCAGCAUAGUCUGGUUCCAAGCAAAUCUUGCUCCCCAGGGUUAUCUUGGCUUGAGAAGAACAGAAAAUGAAUGAUUUUCAGAUGUGCUAAGGACCUUGCACUCCGAUGCUUUUUUCAACAGUUCCUCAAAAAUCUCAUUAUGCAUGUAAAAGAAAAUGUAUCCA
rnacentral:sRNA from 1 species